rnacentral:rRNA from 1 species
AGCUAGUGGCGGACGGGUGAGUAACACGUUGGUACCUACCCCUAAGUGGGGAAUAACUGCCCGAAAGGGUGGCUAAUACCGCAUAAUCCCGCAAGGGUAAAGCAGUAAUGCGCUUAGGGAGGGGCCUGCGUCUGAUUAGCUAGUUGGUAGUGUAAUGGACUACCAAGGCGACGAUCAGUAGCUGGAUCGAGAGGUUGACCAGCCACACUGGGACUGAGAUACGGCCCAG